rnacentral:rRNA from 1 species
UACAGAGGAGCCAAGCGUUGUCCGGAUUGACUGGGCGUAAAGCGCACGCAGGCGGAUGCGCGCGUGGGGUGUGAAAUCUGGCCGCUUAACGGCCAGGCGCCAUCCCAUACGGCGCGUCUGGAGUGAUGCAGAGGUCGGUGGAAUUGCCGGUGUAGUGGUGAAUGCGUAGAGAUCGGCAGGAACACCCAGGGGGAAACCAGCCGACUGG